GGCCUGUUCUGUAAUCGCCAGAUUGGGAGGUUUCAAGUGGAACAUAAUCGAUAAACUCACACAGUAUCAUCACCCAAAAUGAGUCUCCCUAAGCAGCUGAGAUGCUUUUGUCUGAAGCGACGUAUGAGUGAAGAAAGCAAGGAAACAAAGAGUGUUGGUGUUGAAGAGUUGGGCUUAAGGUUCUUUGCUCAAGGGCCAAACAGUGAUAUGAGUACUCUGCCGGCCGCAGGAUUUGAACCCAUGACCUUUCGGACGCAGUGCUUUUCAAAGUUUCGGUUUUGGCACUCGGUGGAAUCGCCACUCGUCUGCUGUUUGAAGAACGGAUUCCUGUCUCCUGUCUCAUCUGAGGCGGCUCUGAGCAAAAAAAAGGCUUUUCUUUCUUUGCUUUCGAAAGCCGGUGUCCCGUUUCAGGAAGCGCCACCUCAGAUCAGUCCUCCUGAGCAGAUAUUUCACGUCCUUCCUGUCUUUCACGCGUCGCCGGGGAAACGGCUACUUCGGCCUGGUUAUUCUCCAAUGGCGUGACGGAAGGCAAGCAUAUCCGUGGGGGAUUUGUCCUGCAUUUGCCUCUACAGGCCUAUAAAGGCAAACUUUGUAAUCGAACAUUGCACUACGUGUUGACUAUGUUCCCUGGCUCUACGGAUAACGCUGCCUGACCCCUGAAGCCGCUUGUUAAUGUGUAACAGCUCUCAGCCGGCGCUGUUUGAUUUGCACAGUACAAUCUCUUCCGUUGUUAAAGUGACACAAGCCUUUGAACUCUUGGCACUCUCUGAUUUUAGCAUAACUGAAUGACCGUUGGACCAAAACCAAUUAAAACUGUGGGCCUCAGUGACGUCAGACCCCAGUGAUGAAACUGGCCUCCUCGGAAGUAUUGGGAAUGGCGAGUCGAGAGAUUCUGGUGAAAAGGAAUACUCAGUUCCUGUGUCUUGAAUAAAUUUUUAUGCGAUUGGCUGAUGACAAGGUUCAGUUUAAACAACAUGUUUGCUUAUGAAAUGAAGGAUUAUUCCCUAGCUUGGUGCAUUGCAAAAAAGAGCACAACAGAGUCAUGCCGUUGUUUGUGGUUUCUAAUAUCUCUUCACUCCUAAAUUAUGCAUUCAUCGUCCCGGAAGGAAAAUCAAGCCUUCUUGUCUUCUGUUUUAUGAGUGGGGUCCAUUGAUCAAGACAGAACCCUGGUCUUAGUCAUAAAAACCCGCAUCUGUUUAUCUUUUUAAUGUUUAUCUAUCGAAGCAAUUUCAGCCACCCCAGAUGUCAGCCAGGGGCAGUGGGGAUGCAGCUCAGUAAACUCGAUUUCUUGGCUUUUGUCCGACGGCUUGGUGAAGGGGUCAUGAUGGAGCCAAAGUCCAGGCUGACGCUUGGGUGCUUUUCUCAUGUCAGUGUGCGCUCUGGUUAUCGUGUAAUCUAGCUGUUUAAUGAUUGCUAAUCUGCUUUCAAAAAAGUUUAUUUUCUACCGUUUUUCCUAGGAGUUGGUGCAUCAUGCAUUAAUUAGUACAUGCUGUGAGUCAUACGUUUUUAUAUCAGGACAGUAUACAUUGAUUUUGGAUCUUCAAUCGAGAAAUACCUAGUAGUGUUAUUUAAUUUAAUAUAAAUAGUAAAAUUAGUAUUAUAUUAUCUUAAACUCUAAAAUAUGGAAACCAUUUCAGCAAUGGAUUUUCAAAAAAAAGUCUUUUGGGAGCAUUUAUCAUUUACACACACACACACACACACAG